rnacentral:tRNA from 1 species
GCCGAAGUGGUGAAAUUGGUAGACACGCUACCUUGAGGGGGUAGUGGGCGAACGCCCGUGCGAGUUCGAGUCUCGCCUUCGGCACCA